rnacentral:rRNA from 1 species
UACGAAGGGUGCAAGCGUUACUCGGAAUCACUGGGCGUAAAGCGUGCGUAGGCGGUUCGUUAAGUCUGCUGUGAAAAGCCCUGGGCUCAACCUGGGAACUGCAGUGGAUACUGGCGGACUAGAGUGUGAUAGAGGAUGGUGGAAUUCCCGGUGUAGCGGUGAAAUGCGUAGAGAUCGGGAGGAACACCAGUGGCGAAGGCGGCCAUCUGGAUCAACACUGACGCUGAGGCACGAAAGCGUGGGGGAGCAAACAGGG